rnacentral:misc_RNA from 1 species
GAUGAAGAACGUAGCGAAAUGCGAUAAGUAAUGUGAAUUGCAGAAUUCAGUGAAUCAUCGAAUCUUUGAACGCACAUUGCGCCCAUUAGUAUUCUAUUGGGCAUGCCUGUUCGAGCGUCAUUUUGACCACUUAAGCCUGGCUUAGUGUUGGGAAUCUACGUUUGUAGUUCCUUAAAUCUAGUGGCGGAGCCGCAGUGGCCUCUGAGCGUAGUAAUUUUUUCUCGCUUUGGAAGGUUCUGUAGUUUUUGCCGUUAAACCCCCAAUUUUUUAAGGUUGACCUCGGAUCAGGUAGGAAUACCCGCUGAACUUAAGCAUAUCAAUAAGCGGAGGA